GGUUAAGUGACUAAGCGUACAUGGUGGAUGCCUUGGCAGUCAGAGGCGAUGAAGGACGUACUAACCUGCGAUAAGCCGUGAGCAGUCGGUAAGAGACAUUACGACUCACGGAUUUCCGAAUGGGGAAACCCACUUAGCAUAAGCUAGGUAUCGCUGCGUGAAUACAUAGCGUAGCGAGGCGAACCGGGAGAACUGAAACAUCUAAGUACCCCGAGGAAAAGAAAUCAACCGAGAUUCCCUCAGUAGCGGCGAGCGAACGGGGAUUAGCCCUUAAGCAUCUUGGAAGUUAGUGGAACGGUCCUGGAAAGGCCGGCGAUACAGGGUGAUAGCCCCGUACACGAAAACAACCUUGAUGUGAAAUCGAGUAGGGCGGGACACGUGACAUCCUGUCUGAAUAUGGGGGGACCAUCCUCCAAGGCUAAAUACUCCUGACUGACCGAUAGUGAACCAGUACCGUGAGGGAAAGGCGAAAAGAACCCCUGUGAGGGGAGUGAAAUAGAACCUGAAACCGUGUACGUACAAGCAGUGGGAGCCCUUCGGGGUGACUGCGUACCUUUUGUAUAAUGGGUCAGCGACUUACAUUUUGUAGCGAGGUUAACCGUAUAGGGGAGCCGUAGGGAAACCGAGUCUUAACUGGGCGUCUAGUUGCAAGGUGUAGACCCGAAACCGGGUGAUCUAGCCAUGGGCAGGUUGAAGGUUGAGUAACAUCAACUGGAGGACCGAACCCACUAACGUUGCAAAGUUAGGGGAUGACCUGUGGCUGGGGGUGAAAGGCCAAUCAAACUCGGAGAUAGCUGGUUCUCCCCGAAAGCUAUUUAGGUAGCGCCUCGGACGAAUACUACUGGGGGUAGAGCACUGUUUGGGCUAGGGGGUCAUCCCGACUUACCAACCCCAUGCAAACUCCGAAUACCAGUAAGUA
rnacentral:rRNA from 1 species